UACGGGGGAGCAAGCGUUGUUCGGAUUACUGGCGUAAAGGGCGCGUAGGCGGCCAGCACAAGUCAGUUGUGAAAUCUCCGAGCUUAACUCGGAACGGUCAACUGAUACUGUGCGGCUAGAGUGCGGAAGGGGCAACUGGAAUUCUUGGUGUAGCGGUGAAAUGCGUAGAUAUCAAGAGGAACACCUGCGGCGAAGGCGGGUUGCUGGGCCGACACUGACGCUGAUGCGCGAAAGCUAGGGGAGCGAACGGG
rnacentral:rRNA from 1 species